GAUGAAGAACGCAGCGAAAUGCGAUAAGUAAUGUGAUUUGCAGAAUUCAGUGAAUCAUCGAAUCUUUGAACGCACAUUGCGCCCGUCAGUAUUCUGGCGGGCAUGCCUGUUCGAGCGUCAUUACGCCCCUCAAGUCCCCUGUGGACUUGGUGUUGGGGAUCGGCGAGGCUGGUUUUCCAGCACAGCCGUCCCUUAAAUUAAUUGGCGGUCUCGCCGUGGCCCUCCUCUGCGCAGUAGUAAAACACUCGCAACAGGAGCCCGGCGCGGUCCACUGCCGUAAAACCCCCCAACUUUUUAUAGUUGACCUCGAAUCAGGUAGGACUACCCGCUGAACUUAAGCAUAUCAAUAAGCGGAGGA
rnacentral:misc_RNA from 1 species